ACAUCACAGUGAAACAUUGGUUCCUGUACGAUCAUGAAAGUUAAGCAAUGUUGGGCCUGGUCAGUACCUAGAUGAGUGACCACUUUGUAAUACCAGGUGCUGUAAG